rnacentral:rRNA from 1 species
CCUACGGGAGGCUGCAGUGGGGGAUAUUGCACAAUGGGGGGAACCCUGAUGCAGCGACGCCGCGUGGGUGAAGAAGUGUUUCGGCACGUAAAGUUCUGUCAGCAGGGAAGAAAAUGACGGUACCUGACCAAGAAGCCCCGGCUAACUACGUGCCAGCAGCCGCGGUAAUACGUAGGGGGCAAGCGUUAUCCGGAUUUACUGGGUGUAAAGGGGGCGUAGACGGCGAUGCAAGUCUGAUGUGAAAGCCCGGGGCCCAACCCCGGGACUGCUGUUGAAACUGUGUGGCUGGAGUGCAGGAGAGGCAAGCGGAAUUCCUGGUGUAGCGGUGAAAUGCGUAGAUAUCAGGAGGAACACCAGUGGCGAAGGCGGCCUGCUGGACUACGACUGACGUUGAGGCCCGAAAGCGUGGGGAGCAAACAGGAUUAGAUACCCUGGUAGUC